AUGUUGAUAGAUGUAAAUAAACAAGAGUUUUUUUAAGAGAAAAAACAAACAAAAAAAUGAGAAAAUAAGUAAAAGGAGGAACAAAUUAUAAGGAAGCCAGGCAUGAGGGUGAAGAGGAGGAAACAUGAGAGAGGAGGAAGAGAGACCAGAGUGGUUUAUCAGGAGGGAAGUAGGAGAUAUAGAAUUCAAGUUCUGAUGGACAGAAUCAGGAAGGACCAUGGGAUAAAAGGUCAAGUUAAAGUUGCUUUGGCUUCCUUUUGUCCUCUUUCUAAGCCUGUUCAAGUCUGAGAUAGAUGAAAAGAGCAGCCAAAGAAACAUCUGUUGAAGCAUCUAUUGGAAAGGAUGGGAGGGUUGGAGGAGGAGCACAGCUGGAUGACUUCAUUAGAUUGUGGCAUAUGAGGUCUCUUUAUCUGUUGAAGCAUCAAUAGGAAAGGAUGAAAGGGAGGGAGGCAGGAAGAGGAAAACACAGAAGAGCAGGUGAGGAGCACUCUAUGUUCUGCUUCCAUGUGGAUUGACAGCAUUGCUUUCAUGAGCUUCUGGAGGACACCAUGGAGGAAGAGGGAGAGGGUCUAUGAUAGGCAGUUUGCCAUGGCCCUAAAUGGGCCUUUGGAUGUUAAUUCUUCAUGCUUUAUAUCAUACAACUUUACAAUAAAAAUGAAUUGCAAGCAUCAGCCUCUUCUGUUGUGUGAUCAGUGCAGUAGUAGUAAGAAUGGUGUAAACCCAAGGAAUAUUCUGGCAGUAGUGUUCAGUUGGUAUAAAAUAGUGUGAUAAGAAAUUAUCAACAUCGUAUGAAAACAAUAUGGAGAUAGAAAUAUCAAAAGAAGUGUUACAUUUACUUAGUAAUAUCAAUUUUUCCCCUCAUAGAGAACGAUGUCCUUGUUGUGCGCACACACACCCACACCCACAGAGAGUUAGUCAUGAUUUCCCUGAGUCAUCAGACUCUGGUGAAGGUUUCUUUGCAUCUUGAGCAGUCCGUGUUGUAUCCUUGCCGGACUCAUCUAUAACAAUCUCGAAGGCCGCCUCUUCUUCUACCCUCUUCACUUUCUCCCCUUUCGCUGCAAGGAUUUCCUCAA